CCUACAGGCGGCAGCAGUGAGGAAUAUUGGUCAAUGGGCGUACGCCUGAACCAGCCAAGUCGCGUGAGGGAUGAAGGUUCUAUGGAUCGUAAACCUCUUUUAUGAGGGAAUAAAGUGUGGGACGUGUCCUAUUUUGUAUGUACCUUAUGAAUAAGGAUCUGCUAACUCCGUGCCAGCCGCCGCGGUAAUACGGAGGAUCCGAGCGUUAUCCUGAUUUAUUGGGUUUAAAGGGUGCGUAGGCGGCCUGUUAAGUCAGCGGUGAAAGUCUGUGGCUCAACCAUAGAAUUGCCGUUGAAACUGGGGGGCUUGAGUAUGUUUGAGGCAGGCGGAAUGCGGGGUGUAGCGGUGAAAUGCUUAGAUAUCACGCAGAACCCCGAUUGCGAAGGCAGCCUGCCAAGCCAUGACUGACGCUGAUGCACGAAAGCGUGGGGAUCAAACAGGAUUAGAUACCCUUGUAGUC
rnacentral:rRNA from 1 species